rnacentral:rRNA from 1 species
ACUUCUUUAUCACCGAGUGCUUGCACUCACCGAUAAAGAGUUGAGUGGCGAACGGGUGAGUAACACGUGGGCAACCUGCCCAAAAGAGGGGGAUAACACUUGGAAACAGGUGCUAAUACCGCAUAACCAUAGUUACCGCAUGGUAACUAUGUAAAAGGUGGCUAUGCUACCGCUUUUGGAUGGGCCCGCGGCGCAUUAGCUAGUUGGUGGGGUAAAGGCUUACCAAGGCAAUGAUGCGUAGCCGAACUGAGAGGUUGAUCGGCCACAUUGGGACUGAGACACGGCCCAAACUCCUACGGGAGGCAGCAGUAGGGAACCUUCCACAAUGGGCGAAAGCCUGAUGGAGCAACGCCGCGUGGGUGAAGAAGGUCUUCGGAUCGUAAAACCCUGUUGUUAGAGAAGAAAGUGCGUGAGAGUAACUGUUCACGUUUCGACGGUAUCUAACCAGAAAGCCACGGCUAACUACGUGCCAGCAGCCGCGGUAAUACGUAGGUGGCAAGCGUUAUCCGGAUUUAUUGGGCGUAAAGGGAACGCAGGCGGUCUUUUAAGUCUGAUGUGAAAGCCUUCGGCUUAACCGGAGUAGUGCAUUGGAAACUGGGAGACUUGAGUGCAGAAGAGGAGAGUGGAACUCCAUGUGUAGCGGUGAAAUGCGUAGAUAUAUGGAAGAACACCAGUGGCGAAAGCGGCUCUCUGGUCUGUAACUGACGCUGAGGUUCGAAAGCGUGGGUAGCAAACAGGAUUAGAUACCCUGGUAGUCCACGCCGUAAACGAUGAAUGCUAAGUGUUGGAGGGUUUCCGCCCU